rnacentral:rRNA from 1 species
UGCAGUCGACGAUGAAGCCCAGCUUGCUGGGUGGAUUAGUGGCGAACGGGUGAGUAACACGUGAGUAACCUGCCCUUAACUCUGGGAUAAGCCUGGGAAACUGGGUCUAAUACCGGAUAGGAGCGUCCACCGCAUGGUGGGUGUUGGAAAGAUUUAUCGGUUUUGGAUGGACUCGCGGCCUAUCAGCUUGUUGGUGAGGUAAUGGCUCACCAAGGCGACGACGGGUAGCCGGCCUGAGAGGGUGACCGGCCACACUGG